GUUCAUAACAGCCACCUCGCCAACUACCACCUCCACAUCACUGGGCUGUACACGGAACUCUUCUCGCAGAGCUAAAAAUCACAUAUGAUGGGUCACUUAUUGUUAUCAAGAUCUGUCGGUCUCAAACAGAAGAAAGUAAAUCAUCCAGGUUGUGAACAACUGUCUAUUGGUGUUUGAUAUUAGAAAACAUCACACUUUGUCAUGAUUCAAACCUGCUAUAUGAAGAGAGGCAUUUCUGCUAGUCG